GUGUGUAUGAACUCGAAAAAAUUGUUCAUUGGCAAUCAAUCUGCGAAGGUGUCGAAUGGUACUAUCAUCUCAAUAUCACUGUGAAGACCAAAGAAGCUGCCAAUGAUGCGGGCAGCACCAGUCUAUUCUUCGUUGAAGUCGCACGUGAUUCGAAUGAUAUCUCAGGAUAUUAUAUCAACACUUUCUCCAGGGUUGACACUGACGGCCAGGAUCGUGGAGCUACCUGCAAUGGCUGUAUAAACAAUGAAAGUGAUGGUAUGAAGCACCCGCGUGCUGCUUCAUUCAAAGGCGGCCACAUGAACAUCCGUUUCCCACUUGGUUUUGGUCCCUGUAAUGAGAAGCAGUGGGCCGACUCCCGUCACAGUGAAGCUCAGUUUAAAGAAAUGCUAAAAAAAAGGAGAAAAGGAUAAGAGACCAUUUUGAGUUCCUUGAAAAUGCUGAACAUCUGCGCCGCAAACAUCUUAAUUAUCGACAUGAAUAUCAAAUAAAUCUCCAGGUUUGAGUCCCAAUCUCCUUCUAUGUGUUAGUAGUUGUGUGUCUGUCAAGUUUUUUGUCCCAUUCCCACGUGAAUUUUUAGAUGUUUAGAGGAAGAAUCCUGAAAGCUCCUGGAUGUUGGUAGUGUUACCAAACUGUUCUUUUAG